rnacentral:rRNA from 1 species
CCUACGGGAGGCAGCAGUAGGGAAUAUUGCUCAAUGGGGGAAACCCUGAAGCAGCAACGCCGCGUGAAGGAUGCAGGUUUUCGGAUUUUAAACUCCUUCUGUUAGAGAAGAUAAUGACGGUAUCUAACGAAUAAGCACCGGCUAACUCAGUGCCAGCAGCCGCGGUAAUACGGAGGGUGCAAGCGUUACCCGGAAUCACGGGGCGUAAAGAGCGCGUAGGCGGGAUAGCAAGUCAGAUGUGAAAUGCUAUGGCUUAACCAUAGAACUGCAUUUGAAACUGGUAUUCUAGAGUAUGGGAGAGGUAGGUGGAAUUCUUGGUGUAGGGGUAAAAUCCGUAGAGAUCAAGAGGAAUACUCAUUGCGAAGGCGACCUGCUAGAACAUAACUGACGCUGAUGCGCGAAAGCGUGGGGAGCAAACGGGAUUAGAUACCCGUGUAGUC